ACCCCCGAAAAUUUGGGAACCCCCAUGAUGUCAACAAAGCCCGAAAAUUUGGGGACCCCCAAAAAUUUGGGGACCCCUAUGACGUCACCAAAGCCCGAAAAUUUGGGGACCCCCGAAAAUUUGGGGACCCCCGAAAAUUUGGGGACCCCCAGGAAUUUGGGGACCCCCAUGACGUCACCGGACCCCCCAAAUAAUUUGGGGACCCCCCCGGAAAAUUGGGGCGACCCCGAACCCCCCCAAGACCCCAAAAUUCCCUAAAAAAAAUUUGGGGUGGGGGAGGGGGGGGGAAAGGGGUCGGCCCCUCCCCCACCCGCCGAUUUUGGGGAUUUUUGGGGGGAUUUUGGGCAAUAAAAGGUGGUGGAGAAGCAGAACCCCGAGUCGGGUUUGGGUUUUUUGUUUUUGGGGGGAAAAAUUCCCCAAAAAAUUCCCCAAAAAAUUCCCCAAAAAAUUUUGGGAAAUUUCGGUUUUGGGGGUUCGUCUCUCCCCUCCCCUGAAAAAAAAAAAAACAAACCAAAAUUGCCUCAAAUUGACCCAAAUUUAAUCCAGAAAUUCAAAAUUUCACCCCAAAUCACUCCCAAAAAACCCAAAAAAUAAAAACUCAUCGAAAAAAAGCACCAGGAAGCCAAAGAAUGGCAAAAUCACCCUAAAAACCCCAAAAUAUAAAAAAAUAAAACCAGAAAUCUUCUCAAAACAUGAAAUCAUCCCAAAAAAUCCCAAAUUCCCCCUAAAAACCCAAAAAUACAAAAAAAAAAAAAAAAAUCCACAAAUCCUCUUAAAACAUGAAACCAUCCCAAAAAAAUCCCAAAUUCCCACUAAAAACCCAAAAUCCCCCCCCAAAAAAUCUCAAACCCCCCUAAAAGCAAAAAAAAAAAACCAAAAAAACCCAAAUCCCCUCAAAAACCCAAAAUCCCCUCCAGAAAACCCCAAAAUUUCCUAAAAUACCCCCAAAACUCAAAAGCACCUCAAAAAACACCAAAAACACCCAAAAACGCCCUAAAAAAGUCAAAAAUAGCCCCAAAAAACCCAAAGCUCCCUAAAAAUUCCAAAAUCUCAAAAAAAAACCCCAAAGCUGCACCAAAAAUACCCAAAACCUUCUAAAAAUCCCAAAUUCCCCAAAAAACCAUAAAUCACCUCAAAAAAAACCCCGAAAAAAUCCCAAAAUCCCUUUUAAAAACCCCAAAACCCCCAAAAUUUUCCCCAAAACCCAAAAAAUCCUCCCAAAAACCCCCAAAAUUUCCCAAAAUCCCCUUUAAA
rnacentral:lncRNA from 1 species